rnacentral:tRNA from 1 species
GCGGACGUGGCGAAAUUGGUAGACGCAGGGGUCUUAAAAUCCCUCGGGCUUGCUUGUACGGUUUCGGCUCCAGUCGUCCGCACCA